UCGGGAAUAUUGGGCAAUGGGCGAAAGCCUGACCCAGCAACUCCGCGUGAGGGAUGAAGGCCCUCGGGUCGUAAACCUCUGUCGGGAGGGAAGAACGGGCCGUAGGUUAAUAGCCUGCGGUCUUGACGGUACCUCCAAAGGAAGCACCGGCUAACUCCGUGCCAGCAGCCGCGGUAAUACGGAGGGUGCAAGCGUUGUUCGGAAUCAUUGGGCGUAAAGCGGGUGUAGGCGGCUUGGCAAGUCGGGUGUGAAAGCCCAGGGCCCAACCCUGGAACUGCACUCGAAACUGCCGAGCUAGAGUCCCGGAGAGGGUGGCGGAAUUCCCGGUGUAGAGGUGAAAUUCGUAGAUAUCGGGAGGAACACCAGUGGCGAAGGCGGCCACCUGGACGGUGACUGACGCUGAGACCCGAAAGCGUGGGGAGCAAACAGGAUUAGAUACCCCCGUAGUCC
rnacentral:rRNA from 1 species